rnacentral:lncRNA from 13 species
GCCCUUCCUCGGCUCUGAGCACGUGGCCUGGCAUUCCCAGCUCAGCCCUCACCUCGUGCUGUGCCCAUUUAUACCGCAGCUUCACAGCCUUCCAGGCCUGGGGUUCUGGGGCCCUGAGCCACCACAGCCGAGGCCGGGCUCCCUGCCUCCCUGGCACAGAUGCAGCCUCCCCCAGGGCCUCUCAGGGGCUAGAGACGGGGACCAGCCUCCUCAAAGCCAGAGACUUCCCUGGGAGAGGGUGGCAACUCACAGCCCCCACCCCACUACUUACAAACACACACCCACACAGACACACACACACAGACACACACACACAGACACACACACACACACACACACACACACACACUCUGUCUCUCUUUCUCUGUCUUUCUCUGUCUCACUCUCUGUCUCUCUCUGUCUCACUCUCUCUGCCCCUGCCCACCUGGGCUCCUACCAGUGCUGCACCUUGGGGUGGCUCGCCCACCGGGCCGGCCCCGAAAUCCACCGUUGGCCACAGCCUUGCUGUGGCGCGUGUGAACUGGAGCUCUUGCCGCUCACGGCUCAGCUGACAAGUUUCCAUUACGGUGACAGAGCAGUGGCCUCAGCGGCCCCGAGGGCCCUGACCGACUUGCUGCUCUCGGGACAGCCGGGUCUGUGGGGAGCCUGUCACCCACGGGCUCGGUGGCACAGGUGGAGUUGGGCCUCCUCACUCUCCCAGGCAUCUUGGUUCUCUGGCCGCAGGUCUAACCUGCUGACCCUGGGCUGCAGAUGCGGGCGGUGGAAGAGGACGGGGACCGUGGGCCCCACCUUGCUGGCCUUUCCUCUGCAGGGCAGAGCACAGCCAGGUGGGGUGUCUGGGCUCCUGGGAAAGGCCUUGGCUCCCAUCCCAACACUCACCAUGGAACCACGCUGGCAGCUGCCCACAUAACACUUAAGUAAGAGGGAAUUGUGCGGAAGCCCCUGGCUGCGCUGACCACCCGCCGGCCUUGCUCAAGUGCCUGCAGGCCCCACCAGGAAGGAGUGGGAGCAGGAGCUGCCUGGUGGCCCCUGAGGCCCCUUUCUGUGCCUAGGUGGGUGGCCCUCACACCCAAGGGCUCGGGGUGGCAGCAAUGCCCGGUGACGGCUGCUCGUCUGCUGGGUGCAGGGGCACCCUAGGCCUCGAGAGCCCCAGACAGACGCGGCAGGACACCCCAGGCCCUCCCUCCCUCCCAUACGUGGAAUGGGGUUGUUGGCCAGCUGUCCAGGGCACUGCAAAGCUCGGUAGGUGCCCAAGAAAUGGUGUCCUGAGCUGGGUGGGGGACCCACGGCCACACAGGGCGGACAGGGAUUCACUUUGACUCUACGCAGAAAAG